GUCGGCGUUUUAAAUUCGCCUUUUUAGGCAACUUGGAUCAGAAACUGUAUGGCAUCAUUAACUUUAGAUGAAAAGUGAAACACACUAACAUGCUGGUUAAGGUGAAACUUGGGGAUGCCCAAAAAUUUGUCAAGAUAACCGAGCUGAGCCUGGAGGAAUUUUUGUCUGCUGCAUUUUUAAAGUUUGGUGUCCCAGCUGUACCCGAGAAUGUGAAGGUUUUUGAUGAGUCAGGGACUGAGGUGAGUCAUGAUGUUUUUGAGGAUGUAGUCAUAGAGCCCUCAGUUGGAGUUCUUACCAUAAAACAUGGUGCAGACUUAGAUUCUGCCUCUCCACAAGCCUCUCAUGGACAGUCAAAUCUGUCCCUGUCUUCAUCCAUUGACUCCAGUGACACACAGGAUACAGUCAUUAUUGAACAAAGCUCCUCCAGGAAACGAAUGAGGCUAGAC